AGGACGAACGCUGGCGGUGUGCUUCACACAUGCAAGUCGAACGAGGUAGCAAUACCUAGUGGCGGACGGGUGAGUAACGCGUGGGAAUCUGCCUUUAGAUGGGGGAUAACGGGUCGAAAGACUCGCUAAUACCGCAUAUGACGAAAGUUGAAAGGAGUAAUCCGUCUAAAGAUGAGCCCGCGUCCGAUUAGCUAGUUGGUAGAGUAAAAGCCUACCAAGGCGACGAUCGGUAGCUGGUCUGAGAGGAUGAUCAGCCACAAUGGGACUGAGACACGGCCCAUACUCCUACGGGAGGCAGCAGUGGGGAAUUUUACGCAAUGGGCGAAAGCCUGACGUAGCGACACCGCGUGAGCGAAGAAGCCCCUUGGGGUGUAAAGCUCUGUCAGCUGGAACGAAAAAAAUGACGGUACCAGCAGAGGAAGCAUCGGCUAACUACGUG
rnacentral:rRNA from 1 species